UAUCGAUAACAAUGUGAUUAAGCUCAGGUUAGCCCGCUCGGCCGAGUGGCUGCUGGUCCGGCCACCGAGGAUGCGUUGCCUGUGGAUUGGCUCGAUCAACCGAGUGGCUGCUGGUCCGGCCACCCGGGAUGCGUAUGGGUCUGGAGGAUGUUUUGACUUUUGAUGUGCGGAGAAUUUGGUAAGUAGUUUGAGUUGUGUAUUUGUUGAUUUUUGAGUUUUUUUU
rnacentral:sRNA from 1 species